ensembl:lincRNA
CAUGAGAAAAGCUCAUAAAAGGAAGCAAAAUCUUCUGGUUUUAUAAUGAGCUGCAUAUAACUGGAGGCAGAGAAGAGAGGCAGGGAAGAGCAGAAGGGUUCUUUGCCCCCGCUGAUCCAUGGCCAUUCCGUCCCUGCCCAUCUGCCAUGUUAACAAGCCCAAGCUGGCCUGUUGGAUGACAAAAGGCCAUGGGGAACAAAGACAAACCAUCCCAGCUGAGGCUUUCCUAUACUGACCAGCCCCCGGCUAACCCACCAGCGAACUGCAGACACAGAAGUGAGUCCUGCUGAGAUGAGAGGGAAGCCCAGCCCAAAAGGCCAACCCCAGAGUCAUAGGCCAAGUGAGAACAGUGAACUCUGGCCAAACUACAAAACCCAACUCCUAAAAGCACUGGAAAGUGAACAGGCCUACAGCUUUGGAAGUCAGUCAACACCCAGAAGAAGAGACCUGCACAGGGUUCUAGGGAUCUUCGAACAACUAACAAUAGAUGAGAACAAAGAUGGAGAAGGUUGUCUGCUUAAUGUUCUCCAAAUUAAUUUUUUCUCAGUAUGGCCGCAGUGUUUCUCCUCCGCUUACCUCAGUGCUGAGUUCUGCUCAGUUGGAGUGACAUCUGGCUACAAGUUAUAAAAACAAAGUCGUGAAGCUUUCCCAUGUUUGCAUUCUAUGUUCAACUACCCACAGGAAAUUCUCAAUACUUGUUCUUAUUUUACAAAGAUGUUUAAAACUACGGGGAUCCCAAAUUGUCCACUCUGCAGAAGGAACAGAAGAGGAAGAUGAUGUUAAGUAACCUCUAUUAACAGUGGAUCGUGGUUUAGGAACUGACCUAGAUGUUCACAUAAUUUAGCUCCAACCCUGAAACCAAUCGUGCAAGAAGGGUUAUUACUGUCUCUGCAAGCAGAAGAGGAGAGACUCGGAAAAAUUAAGUAGCUUGCCCAAGAACACAGUUGGCAAGAAAGAGAGGGAGGAUUCUCCUCCAGGUGCCACUGCCUACUCUCUUGCCCUUUUAUCAUAACAUUAGUAAUUAAUAUUCUUCACUUCAUCAGCUAAGUAAAAAGUAAUCCCAACACCCACUUUUGUUAUAUGCAUGAGAAAAGCUUAUUACAGUCCCACGUAAUUGUUCUUAUUGUUUGAAAAAAUUAUUAUAUGAAUAUUCUUUCUAUUUCUGCAUAACAUGGAAAUCUGCAGAUAUCUGAGUCACUUACAAGGGACCGUAGCUUGAACAGGAUAGGGAGAGAAUGGCACCUUACAUACCAUUUUUGAAAAUAAAAAUUUAUAAAUAAAUACCUACUUCACUGAAUUCAGCAGCAAAAACUAAUAAGAAUUUGUAGCAUUCAACAGGGGUCAAUAAACUAUCUCCUAUGGACCAUAUCCGGCUUGCUGCCUGCUUUUUAUACAACCCAUGAGCUAAAACUGUGUUCUACAUUUUUGAAUGUUAAAAAAGUAAAUCAAAAUAAGACUAUUUCAUGAGAGUUAUAUGAAAUUUGAAGUUCGUUGUCCGCAAAUAACGGGGUUUUUAAAUUUUGUUUUGUUUUAAAUAUAGCCAUUCUCAUUUGUUUAUGGUCUGCCUGUGACCUUGAGCUAAGACCACAGAGUUAGUAGUGGGGACAGAGAUCAUAUGGCUCACAAAGUCAAAAAUAUUUACUACCUGAC